rnacentral:rRNA from 1 species
ACGAACGCUGGCGGCGUGCCUAAUACAUGCAAGUUGAGCGAUGAAGAUUGGUGCUUGCACCAAUUUGAAGAGCAGCGAACGGGUGAGUAACGCGUGGGGAAUCUGCCUUUGAGCGGGGGACAACAUUUGGAAACGAAUGCUAAUACCGCAUAAUAACUUUAAACAUAAGUUUUAAGUUUGAAAGAUGCAAUUGCAUCACUCAAAGAUGAUCCCGCGUUGUAUUAGCUAGUUGGUGAGGUAAAGGCUCACCAAGGCGAUGAUACAUAGCCGACCUGAGAGGGUGAUCGGCCACAUUGGGACUGAGACACGGCCCAAACUCCUACGGGAGGCAGCAGUAGGGAAUCUUCGGCAAUGGACGAAAGUCUGACCGAGCAACGCCGCGGGAGUGAAGAAGGUUGUCGGAUCGUAAAACUCUGUUGGUAGAGAAGAACGUUGGUGAGAGUGGAAAGCUCAUCAAGUGACGGUAACUACCCAGAAAGGGACGGCUAACUACGUG